rnacentral:rRNA from 1 species
CACGAUUGGUUUACUACCCUGAACACACCUGAUCUCUUCUGAUCUCGGAAGCUAAUCAGGGUCAGGCCUGGUUGAUACUUGGAUGGGAGACCGCCUGGGAAUACCAGGUGCUGUAGGCU